rnacentral:rRNA from 1 species
GAGGGAUAAUUAUGAUAGUACUUCGUGAAUAAGUGACAGCAAACUAUGUGCCAGCAGCUGCGGUAAUACAUAGGUCGCGAGCAUUAUUCGGAUUUAUUGGGCGUAAAGCAAGCGCAGGCGGAUGUGUAAGUUCUGUGUUAAAUGCAGCUACUCAAUAGUUGUAUGCACCGAAUACUACAUGUCUAGAUUG